AUUGAACGCUGGCGGCAGGCCUAACACAUGCAAGUCGAACGAGUGGCGGACGGGUGAGUAAUGUCUGGGAAACUGCCCGGUGGAGGGGGAUAACUACUGGAAACUGUAGCUUAUACCGCAUACCAUCGGAUGUGCCCAGAUGGGUUUAGCUAGUAGGGGGGGAAACGGCUCACCUAGGCGACGACCCCUAGCUGGUCUGAGAGGAUGACCAGCCACACUGGAACCGAGCCACGGUCCAGACUCCUACGGGAGGCAGCAGUGGGGAAUAGUGCACAAUGGGCGCAAGCCUGAUGCAGCCAUGCCGCGUGUAUGAAGAAGGCCUUCGGGUUGUAAAGUACUGUCAGCGAGGAGGCGUUACUCGCAGAAGAAGCACCGGCUAACUCCGUGCCAGCAGCCGCGGUAAUAC
rnacentral:rRNA from 1 species